GUCUCGGUGAAGAGCUCUAGACCAGGCUUGAUCUAGAGCUCUGGUCAGAACCUCUAUUGUUUGCUCUGGGACGGAAUACCCAUUUGCACCGACUUGAUUCAGCUGUGUGCGUGAUUUGAAACUGGUCUCCGAGGGAU
rnacentral:snoRNA from 1 species